rnacentral:misc_RNA from 1 species
AAGUCGUAACAAGGUCUCCGUAGGUGAACCUGCGGAAGGAUCAUUAUUGAGUUCUUGAACAGCGGGCUUUUGAUGCUGGGUCCUUUAGGGGACAAUGUGCUCAGGCCUGUUCUCAAAUCCACUCAACCCAUGUGCACUCUCGAGGUGUGGGCCUCCGUCAUGGGAGCCGCUCUGCCCUUCCUUACAGGGAGGGAGUGUGAGCUGGGACCACACCUUGCAACCCUUUCACACAAACAGGUAUGAAUGUCUUGUAGAAUGCAAAAUUAAACAAAUACAA